CCUACGGGAGGCUGCAGUGGGGAAUAUUGCACAAUGGGGGAAACCCUGAUGCAGCAACGCCGCGUGAGUGAGGAAGUAUUUCGGUAUGUAAAGCUCUAUCAGCAGGGAAUAGAAAAGAAGGUUCCUGAAAUAGAAGGCACCGCUAACUUCGUGCCAGCAGCCGCGGUAAUACGUAGGGGGCAAGCGUUAUUCGGAUUUACUGGGUGUAAAGGGAGCGUAGACGGAAAGGCAAGUCAGAAGUGAAAGCCCAAGGCUCAACCAUGGGACUGCUUUUGAAAAUGUCAAGCUAGAGUACGGGAGAGGUAAGAGGAAUGCCUAGUGUAGCGGUGAAAUGCGUAGAUAGUAGGAGGAACACCAGUGGCGAAGGCGUCUUACUGGACCGAAACUGACGUUGAGGCUCGAAAGCGUGGGGAGCAAACAGGAUUAGAUACCCGUGUAGUC
rnacentral:rRNA from 1 species